ACUCAAUAGAUACCCUGGUAGUCCUGGCAGUAAACGGUGCGCGUUUGGUGUGGGAGGAUUCGACCCCUUCUGUGCCGGAGCUAAACGCGUUAAACGCGCCGCCUGGGGAGUACGGUCGCAAGAUUAAAACUCAAAGAAAUUGACGGGGGCCCGGCACAAGCGGUGGAGUAUGUGGCUUAAUUCGAUGCAACGCGAAGAACCUUACCUAGCCUUGACAUGCAUCUCUAAGUCGGUGAAAGCCGGCGAGUGUAGCAAUACACAAUUUGCACAGGUGCUGCAUGGCUGUCGUCAGCUCGUGUCGUGAGAUGUUGGGUUUAAGUCCCGCAACGAGCGCAACCCCUGUGAACUGUUGCCACCUAUCUUUGGAUAGAGCACUCUGUUCAGACUGCCCUGUGAAACGGGGAGGAAGGUGGGGAUGACGUCAAGUCAGCAUGGCCCUUACGGCUAGGGCUGCACACGUACUACAAUGCUCAGUACAGAAUGAACCGAAACCGCGAGGUGGAGGAAAUCCAUAAAACUGAGCCCAA
rnacentral:rRNA from 1 species